rnacentral:rRNA from 1 species
UUAUAUUUUAUUUAUUAAUAAUUUUUUAUUAUAUUAUAUUUUAUUAAAAAUAAUUAUAGAUUUUAUUGUUUUAGUAUUUUAUAAAGAAAAAAUAAAUUUAAUGAUAGUUAAAUAGUAUUGUGGAAGAAAAUUGAAAUAAAUUGAAAAAUUAAUAUAGUGAAAGAAAAUUUAAUUUAUUGUACCUUGUGUAUCAGGGUUUAUUAAAUAAGAGUUAGUUAAUUAAUUUUCUCGAUUUUAAAAGAGUUAAUAUGUUAUAAAAGUUAUUGUUGUAAAAUUAUUUUUAAUAAUAUAUUAGAAAUGAAAUGUUAUUCGUUUUUAAAGGUAUCUAGUUCUUUAAGAAAUAAAUUUAAUUUAGAAAUUUUUUAUUCUUUUGUUAAAUAUAUAAACAGAAGAAUUUUUUAAUUUUAAUAUUUUAUGGGAUAAGCUAUAGAAUAAAUUAUUAAAAAUUAGUAAAUUAAUUAAUAAAUGUAAGCUUAGAAAUAGUUAUCAUUAAAAAUUAUGUUAUAAUUUAUUUAUAAGGUGUUAAUAUUUAUUAAAUUUUAAGUUUUUAUUAAAGUAUUUAUUAUAAUUUUAAUUGUAAAAUAAUAAUGAUAAAAUUAGUAUAUUUAUUGUAAAAAUAUAUGGUUAUGAAAGGUUUUUGUAAAGAAUUCGGCAAAAUUAAUAUUCGCCUGUUUAACAAAAACAUGUCUUUUUGUGUUAUUUAAAAAGUCUAGCCUGCCCACUGAAUAAUUAAAUGGCCGCAGUAUAUUAACUGUGCAAAGGUAGCAUAAUCAUUAGUCUUUUAAUUGAAGGCUGGUAUGAAUGGUUGGACGAGAUAUUAACUGUUUCAUAGAAAUUUAAGUUAGAAUUUUAUUUUUUAGUUAAAAAGCUAAAAUAAAAUUAAAAGACGAGAAGACCCUAUAAAUCUUUAUACUUAUAAUGUUAUAAUUUUAUAGAAUAUUUUUAUUAUAAUAUUUUAUAGUAUUUUAUUGGGGUGAUAUUAAAAUUUAAUAAACUUUUAAUUAUAAAGCCAUUAAUUUAUGAAUAAUUGAUCCAUUAUUAGUGAUUAAAAAAAUAAGAUACUUUAGGGAUAACAGCGUAAUUUUUUUGGAGAGUUCUUAUCGAUAAAAAAGAUUGCGACCUCGAUGUUGGAUUAAGAUAUAAUUUUAGGUGUAGUAGCUUAAACUUUAAGUCUGUUCGACUUUUAAAUUCUUACAUGAUCUGAGUUCAAACCGGCGUAAGCCAGGUUGGUUUCUAUCUUUAAUUUAUAAAAAUAUUUCAGUACGAAAGGACCUAAUAUUUGAUAAAUUAUUAUUUUUGCGUUGAAUAUAAAUAAUUAA